rnacentral:rRNA from 1 species
GUAUCAUGGCUCAGAUUGAACGCUGGCGGCAGGCUUAACACAUGCAAGUCGAACGGUAACAGGAGAAAGCUUGCUUUCUUGCUGACGAGUGGCGGACGGGUGAGUAAUGCUUGGCAAUCUGGCUUAUGGAGGGGGAUAACGACGGGAAACUGUCGCUAAUACCGCGUAGAGUCGAGAGACGAAAGUGCGGGACCGCAAGGCCGCAUGCCAUAGGAUGAGCCCAAGUGGGAUUAGGUAG